UACGUAGGGUGCGAGCGUUGUUCGGAAUUACUGGGCGUAAAGGGCUCGUAGGCGGCCAACUAAGUCAGACGUGAAAUCCCUCGGCUUAACCGAGGAACUGCCUGUCAGACUGGAAGGCUUGAGACCGGGAGAGGUGAGUGGAAUUCCCAGUGUAGCGGUGAAAUGCGUAGAUAUUGGGAGGAACACCAGUGGCGAAGGCGGCUCACUGGACCGGAACUGACGCUGAGGCGCGAAAGCGUGGGGAGCAAACAGG
rnacentral:rRNA from 1 species